rnacentral:rRNA from 1 species
UCCCGNGAAUUUAAGCAUAUAAGUAAGUGGUGGAAGAAAAAAUAAACAUGAUUCUUUUAGUAAUGGCGAAUGAACAAAGACAUGGUCAUUUUGAAAAUUGUGGUCUUAGAUCAUGAAUUGUAUUUUCAAAAUGCAUUGCUAACACAACUGCACAUGUUUGUUUAUUGGAAAGAACAUCACAAAGGGUGACAAUCCCAUGUGUCAUGUGUAUGUUUUGUGUACAGCGUGCAUUAUAUGAAUCACAUUCAUUGACAAUUGAAUGCAAAUAGAAUGGUAAAUUUCAUUUAAUCAUAAAUAUGUUGUUGACAACUUAUAGCAAACAAAUACCAUGAGGGAAAUGUGAAAAGGAUUUUGAAAAGAAAAUUAAAAGAGCUUGCAAUUGCUGAACUGAUAAGCAAACAAAACAUACGUGUGUAUGCAAGAUUGUUGUAAUGCUUAGCAUCCUAUGCAAGGCUAUUGCAAUGAUUUUUUGUAUAGUGAUGCUACCUUUUUUUAGAAUUUGGAAUGUCUUUUUUUGAGUGUGAAUGGAAUUUUGUUUGUUAGCAAAGGAAUGCACUUUUAGAUUCAUUGUUUGAUUUGAUUUAAAAAUGUUUGUGACACAUGUCUUUGUUUUAGUUUCAUGCUUCAACCAAGGACAUUGUGUUGAUCCAUAUCAGCA